rnacentral:rRNA from 1 species
CGGACCGGCGCACGGGUGCGUAACGCGUAUGCAACCUACCUUUAGCAGGGGGAGUAACACUGAGAAAUUGGUACUAAUACCCCAUAAUAUCAUAGAAGGCAUCUUUUAUGGUUGAAAAUUCCGAUGGUUAGAGAUGGGCAUGCGUUGUAUUAGCUAGUUGGUGGGGUAACGGCUCACCAAGGCGACGAUACAUAGGGGGACUGAGAGGUUAACCCCCCACACUGGUACUGAGACACGGACCAG